UACGUAGGGCGCAAUGCGUUAUCCGGAAUUAUUGGGCGUAAAGAGCUCGUAGGCGGUUUGUCGCGUCUGCCGUGAAAGUCCGGGGCUCAACUCCGGAUCUGCGGUGGGUACGGGCAGACUAGAGUGAUGUAGGGGAGACUGGAAUUCCUGGUGUAGCGGUGAAAUGCGCAGAUAUCAGGAGGAACACCGGUGGCGAAGGCGGUUCUCUGGGCCUUACCUGACGCUGAGGAGCGAAAGCGUGGGGAGCGAACAGG
rnacentral:rRNA from 1 species